GUUAGUUUGCAGUGCAGGAUCACUCUUGAAGGAGUUGGAUGAGCCCCCUGGACUGACAGCUCUCCGCUCCUUUUCCAAACUGGAAGGCCCAAACCAGUCACUCCAACAAAGGAAAACAUCUACCAACUAACUCAGGUAUACUGGGUAUUUACACCAAUGACCUAACUAAAGAAAUGCGAUGGACCCUCAGACGAGAUGGAAACAUUCCAUGAAGGAACCCGACGCUCCUCAGGCAAGCUGAACCAACAGAAACAUAGUCCUGGAUGCUCUUGGAAAAACCAACUACAAAACCCACCCCAAAUCAGCAGUUCCGACUGCAGGCGCCUCUGAACUGGAAGAGAUCAGCUGUUUUUCUCAGUUAAACGGAAGGAUACUGGAGUACAGUGCAUGUUACAAAGACUGGCGGCCACAUCACCCCACAUGGGCACCAGUCCAUGUCCCACAGUUUGGGAACCUGCUCUGCAAAACAGCCGCUCAGUAAAUAUUUGUUGAAAUCACUGAAUUCCAAACUCUAGCUACAUCUCCCUGAGCAAGCCCUGGGCCCAAGGCUCGUAAUGCCAGGGCGCUCAAGCCAAGCAUGUAAAGCACUCUUCAGUCCUGAUCGUGGUUCUAUGCUUUCAAACAGGCAGGAGGCAGCACGGCACCUAGGGUGAGCACAGGCUUGCAUCUGAAACUUGCUCCAUCAGGGACUGUGUCUCUCUAAGCCUCAGCACCCUCACCUAUAAACUGGGGAUGCUAAGGCCCAGCUGUGUGGGCAAAUUUGUGAGGGUCAAGUGAGACAAAGCACAGAAGGUGUCUGAUGCCCAGAAGACCCUGAGUACGGGGAAGCAGCCCCCAACACCUUCAGUAUGGGGUGGGGUACAAAGUGGAACACAGGAGGCCUGGGCUUGGGGCACCUGGUUGAACAGGAGGGGAAGGGGGCUGUUCCAGAAUUGGAAGGCCUCCACCCCAUGACCUCAGGGGAACAAGACUGCC